GACGGUCCUGGCUGGCUCCUUUAAUCUGAGAGAAAGGCGAAGGAAUCCUUGGCACCUUCUCCAGAACGCAUUCCAGUGCACGGAGCUCACAGGACCAGCAGACGGAAGAAAAGGAUGAAUUGCUUCCUCGACUUUCUGCUUUCCAUAGCUAAAAGCUGCUCACCUCCUCCAAAAGGUCCCCAUAUGACUCGGCGGAUGGACUUCACCCAGUCUUCCAUGUCAUUCUGGGUGCUCGCCAUGAGGAGAUAGCUCUCAUGAUUGGCUGUCAUCCGAUCUCGUUCCCCUCCUGCAAAAACAUAAGGACAUUCAGUGGACAGUCCAACCGGUGAUCAAAGAUUCCUCAUCUUCCCCUCCAAGGAAGUCCCAGAAUCAAGGGCGGGGCCUCGCGCGGUCAGCCCUGCGUCCCACCGAAUGAACUGGAAAUAUUUACCUCAGCUUCUGGGGGACCUGGAGUGGGGAUUGCUGCUUUAAAAGGAAAGGCUCUUGUGUUUCCAGGAGAAGGCUAGAGACCAAAUACCAUUCCCUAAACAAUGCCUGGGGUUUUCUGUCCUAGCAACAACCCACAGGCCAGUGGUCACCGUAAUCCCGUCCAUUCACAGAGCUGCUGAAUAGGGAGAAACAGUAGAGACAAAGCAAAUGGAGGAGAUGAUGGCGGAGUGGUCCACAGAGCGCUCGGAAUGUCGUCAGGAGCAUUGAACCCUGCUUAGAUCACACUCCAUGGACAGCAGGUCCGUGGUCCAGGGUGCACUGGGUGCUUACUAAAUCAGAUAGCAAUUUCCUGCUGUGUCACUCAGCCCAGAGACAGACAGCCCUGGAGAGGAGAGCAAGCUACAGACAUUGCAGAGCCUGUCUGCCCAGAAGCAGAGGGAGAGGGGGCUGAUAAGCACAACUGGCCAGUAUUCCAGACUCCUUAUUUGAUUCUUUAUCUCUGCCAAGGGUGCUGUGUGUCUGACCUUGAAUCUCAUUGAGGCUGCCAAUCAUAGCUGUGAAAUCCCAAGUGUGAGCUCCAGUCAUUGAUAUAGAUCUGGGCUCCUCCAUGUGUCAGCAAAGGGGAAAAUGGUUUAGAACAGCCUUCCACAGGAGUCUUGGUGGAAACAUGCAUUUCUUUGCUAAAAACGAGAUGAUGUAAUGAUAGCGUCAUGCAUGUGCGAUCCAGAGUUUAUAUUUUCUUAGGUUUUAGAUAGUUGCUGGUGCCCAAAGACACUGCAUGAAAAUACCAGAAAUUAAUAAACCACAGAAUUUAAUGGUG
rnacentral:lncRNA from 1 species